AACGAACGCUGGCGGCAGGCCUAACACAUGCAAGUCGAGCGCCCUUUCGGGGGAGCGGCGGACGGGUGAGUAACGCGUGGGAAUAUGCCCUUCUCUACGGAAUAGCCUCGGGAAACUAAGAGUAAUACCGUAUACGCCCUUAGGGGGAAAGAUUUAUCGGGGAAGGAUUAGCCCGCGUUGGAUUAGGUAGUUGGUGGGGUAAUGGCCUACCAAGCCGACGAUCCAUAGCUGGUUUGAGAGGAUGAUCAGCCACCCUGGGACUGAGACACGGCCCAGACUCCUACGGGAGGCAGCAGUGGGGAAUCUUAGACAAUGGGGGCAACCCUGAUCUAGCCAUGCCGCGUGGGUGAUGAAGGCCUUAGGGUUGCAAAGCUCUUUCAGCUGGGAAGAUAAUGACGGUACCAGCAGAAGAAGCCCCGGCUAACUCCGUGCCAGCCGCCGCAGUAA
rnacentral:rRNA from 1 species